AUUGAACGCUGGCGGCAGGCCUAACACAUGCAAGUCGAGCGGAAGAAGGGAGAUUGCUUGUGGUUUCGGCGGCGGACUGGUGAGUAAUGGCGAGGAAUAUGGCUGGUUGCGGGUGAUUACGUGCGGACAUGGGGGCUAUUACGGCAUUAGUGCUGAGGGCGUACGUGGGGAAUCUUCGGAUCUUAGGCUCUCAGAUGAGCCUAGGUCGGAUUAGCUAGUUGGUGGGGUAAAGGCCCACCAAGGCGACGAUCCGUAACUGGUCUGAGAGGAUGAUCAGUCACACUGGAACUGAGACACGGUCCAGACUCCUACGGGAGGCAGCAGUGGGGAAUAUUGGACAAUGGGCGCAAGCCUGAUCCAGCCAUGCCGCGUGUGUGAAGAAGGCCUUCGGAUUGUAAAGCACUUUAGGUGGGAAAGAAAGGCAGUAAGUUAAUACCUUGCUGUUCUGACGUUACCCAAAGAAUAAGCACCGGCUAACUUCGUG
rnacentral:rRNA from 1 species